CAUUUUGAUGAAUACGUUGCCCCCCUAUUUUUUCUACAAUCAAGAUGAUUUUCCUCUGUGGGGUAUGCAUAUCAUCUUCUUUCGUUUUCAUUAGAACAUAUCAUAUUUUGUUUGAGAGGCAGGUACAACGAUGGCAAAUAUUUGUUUUCAUCAGAAGUAUAUUUUCAUGAGAUACAAUGGCAAUCAGGCGGCACAUGCAGAAGAGUUGUGGAAGGUUGAUUGAGAAGUCAUAAGGACUGGGUGAAGCAAAAUGCAAUCUCCAAGUUUCAGGUUUCAAAAUGAGAAAUUGGAGCAUUGAGACCUUUGAACUGAAACCUAAAU